rnacentral:rRNA from 13 species
GUUGGAAGACCUAACUCGUAACUGUUGCAAAAGUUUGAGAUGAUUUGUAAUUAGGGGUGAAAGGCCAAUCAAACUUGGUGAUAGCUGGUUUUCCACGAAAUAUAUUUAGGUAUAGCGUAAUUUUAGGUAGCAAAGGGUAGAGCUCUUUUUAAACUAGGGGAGUCAAUAAACUUUACUGAAUUUAGAUAAACUACGAAUAUUUGCUAAAUUUAAGAUUAUAGUCAGACUUUGAGUGCUAAGAUUUUAAGUCAAGAGGGAAACAGCCCAGAUUAUUAACUAAGGCCCAUAAAUGAAAGCUAAGUGAUAAAGAAAGUGAUUAGACCAAGAUAGUUAGAAGGUGAGCUUGGAAGCAGCUAUCCUUUAAAAAAUGCGUAAUUGCAUACUAAUUGAAAAUAUUUUAUUUAAGUCUAGUUGCGUCGAAAAUUCAUAG